CUUUCAAAAGAAAAUGGAAUGACAUUAUUGGAAUGAAAAGUCAUCGAUUGUCAUGCGCUUAUAGAACUUUCGGAUAUUACAUAACACCAAAAAUACUUUUUUAAACCCCCCUCCGUUCCUUAUAACAAAUCGUAACAAAACUUCUCCCCCCCUCUCAAAAGAGUAACAUAACAAGAAAAAUCGAAUAUUAGAAAACAUUGAUUAGUUAAUUGUCAUUUCCCCAGAUUACAUGUUUUCACCAAUAUUUCCAUAGAAAUGGCGGGAAAAGCCUUGACUUCUAGCGGCGCUUUGAUGACGUAUUAAGUUUCCCCCCCCCCCCC